rnacentral:rRNA from 1 species
CCCGCUCAGGACGAACGCUGGCGGCGUGCCUAAUACAUGCAAGUCGAGCGCGGGAAGCCGGCGGACUCCUUCGGGAGGAAACCGGUGGAACGAGCGGCGGACGGGUGAGUAACACGUGGGCAACCUGCCGGACUGAUGGGAAUAACCCCGGGAAACCGGGGCUAAUGCCCAAUACGCCCUGACCUCGCCUGAGGUCAGCGGUAAAGCAGGGAUCUUCGGAUCCUUGCACAGUCCGAUGGGCCCGCGGCGCAUUAGCUAGUUGGAGAGGUAAGGGCUCCCCAAGGCGACGAUGCGUAGCCGACCUGAGAGGGUGAUCGGCCACACUGGGACUGAGACACGGCCCAGACUCCUACGGGAGGCAGCAGUAGGGAAUCAUCCGCAAUGGGCGAAAGCCUGACGGUGCAACGCCGCGUGAGUGAUGAAGGUUUUCGGAUCGUAAAGCUCUGUUGACAGGGAAGAACCCACGCCAGUCGAACAGGCUGGCGUGCUGACGGUACCUGUCCAGAAAGCCCCGGCUAACUACGUGCCAGCAGCCGCGGUAAUACGUAGGGGGCAAGCGUUGUCCGGAAUUAUUGGGCGUAAAGGGCACGCAGGCGGUUUCGUCAGUCCGAUGUGACAGGCCACGGCUCAACCGUGGAAGGCCAUUGGAAACUGCGAAACUUGAGGACAGAAGAGG